GCGGGCGGUUCGGCCGGGGAGGGGGCGGUGCCGCGCCCACAGCAAGGCUGACUCCCCCAAUUUCUAUUAGCAUCAGAAGAAUGCCCUCUCAGGGGGAAGCAAUUGUUUUCGCGUAUAAUUUCGACACAUUUGCCAUUAUGGCAGCGCAGUCGCGAGAUGCUUUUGCUUUAUUACUUUUUUUUAUAAUGGAGGGAGGGUCCCGCCCAGUGUCUAGGGUUCAGGGCCCGCGGCCUCCACGAUCCGGGUGCAACAAAAACCCAGCGAGCACUGCUGCGUGCCCGGCGCUGCUAGGGACAUCAGGAGAGGGCAGAAGCCUGUGCUCCCGGAGUCGCCUUUCAGCAGGGACGCGGCUCCCCCACUCAGCUCCCACAGAUCCUCUUGCCCCAGGUCCUUCCUCUGUGUGCGGCAGAGGGAAGGACCAUGCGUGGACAUGGGCGGGAGGAUCAUUUGAGCCCAGGAGUUCAAGACCAGCCUGGGCAACAUAGUGAGACCUCAUCUCCACAAAAAUAAAAGAUUAGCUGGGUGUGGUGGCGCGUGCCUGUAAUCCCAGCUACUCGGGAGGCUGAGGCAGGAAGAUUGCUUGAGCCCAGGAGUUCAAGGCUACAGUGAGCUAUGAUAGUGCCCCUGAACUCCAGCCUGGGUGGCAAAGCAAGACCCUGUCUCAAAAUAAAAUAAUAAAAUAAAAUAAAUCACACAUAUUUGAAGUAUACAAUUUGAUGAGUUUUGAAUAUAGAUGUAUAUUCUGUGACUCCAUCACCACAGUAAGAUAAUGACCAUUUCCGUCACUCCCAAAAGUGUGAGCCACUGUGCCCGCCCAGAACUCAUGGUUUUGAACUUCUUUUCAUUUUCGUCAUCUGUAUAUCUUAUUUGGUGAAAAGUUUAUUCAAAUUUUUUGCCCAUUAAAAAUAAAAAAAGAAUGGGUUGUUAUUGUUUACUAUAAGAGUUUUUUUAAUAUUCUAGAUCAUGUAUUUUCUUCUUCUUCUUCUUUUUUUUUUUGACAAGGUCUCAUUCUGUUGCCCGGGCUGGAGUGCAGUGGCUCAUUGCAGCCUCGACCUCCAGGGCUCGGGUGAACUUCCCACCACAGCCUUCUGGGUAGCUGGGACCACAGGCAUGCACCACCACACCCGGCUAGUUUUUUUACUUUUUUGUAGAUAACAGAGUUUCACCAUAUUGUCCAGAUUGGUCUCAAACUCCUGAGCUCAAGUGAUUUGCCUGCCUCUGCCUCUGAAAGCGCUGGGAUUACAACAGGCGUGUACCACUGUGUCUGGCCUGAUCAUGCAUUUUCAAUGAAGGCAAAAUUGCCCCCAAUGGGAAAAAAUUGGUUCUCGUGAAAUGAAAAAAUUGUGCUCUUUAUGUACAAAGCACAAUAAACGCACAAUACAUAAACGGGUACCUGUGUAUUAAAUUUCCAUGGGGGUGAUUAGGAAGGAUUGUCUAAAAAUAUUCCUUGGAUGAGGAAGGGAAUGGAAAAAAGCUGAGAAAGUGUUCGAGAUACAAGUCCUUUGUUGGAUGUAUGCUUUGCAAAAACCAAAAAAUUUUAAUUUGGAUAAAGUCCAAUUUAUCAAUUAUCCCUUUUAUAAUUUGUGCUUUUUGUGUGCUAUUUCAGAAGCCUCUGUCUAACUCAAGGUUACUAAGAUUUUCUGCUGUUUUCCUGUAAAAGUUUCACAGUUUUAACUCUUCCAUUUAGGUCUGUGGUCCAUUUUAUAGACUCCCC
rnacentral:lncRNA from 1 species